rnacentral:misc_RNA from 1 species
AACCAUAGAAACCUGCGGAGUACCUGCGGAGGGAUCGUUACAGAGUUGCAAAACUCCCUAAACCAUUGUGAACGUUACCUAAACCGUUGCUUCGGCGGGCGGCCCGGGUCCUUCCCGGCGCCCAUCGGCCCUCGCGGGCGCCCGCCGGAGGUAAACCAAACUAUUGCAUUGUAUGGCCUCUCUGAGUCUUCUGUACUGAAUAAGUCAAAACUUUCAACAAUGGAUCUCAGAUCGGAAGAG